CAGGAACCAAAGAGGGCACUGAGAGAGAUCAAAACAAGACAAAUUGUUUAGACAUCAGGAAUGGGAAAAGCAGUGAGAACGGAGGUAUUUGUAGGGCUCCUGGAUUAACAAUAUUAAUAAUACUAGGAGUUACAUUCAUUAACUGUUUAACCUGUGCCAGAUACUGACAAGUGCUUUCAUUGCAUGAGUGGCAAGCGGAAACACCAAAAUGGUACCCAUAAUUUGGAGGCAGAUUUAUUUACAUUGCCAUAUUGAGCCACCCGCAAUUCUCCUGAGAUCACCGCAGUCUUACCUCUGUCUUCGCUGUGCCUGAUACAGUCUUGAAAGUGCAUCCAUCAAUUUUCAGAUCAAAGGGUUACUAGGAAGAUCUAUUCUCCAUUACAAUUACCUGUUGUUCUGACAUUAUCCACAUACUAUCUUUUUACUAAAAUAGAAAUGCUUUGAAG
rnacentral:lncRNA from 1 species